GAUUGGUUUGCGAUGCUUGUUCAUAACAGUGGCUGCAUUGACAACCAUGAGUUUUAGAUGUAAUCUAAAAGAACUUAUGGCACGUUUGGUUCGCGGAAUAGGCCAGGAAUGGAAUAGCAUUCCCAGUAAUAGGCCUAUGCAGACUUGAUUGCAGAAGGAGACCACGAUGGAUGCACAGCUUUUACCAAGGCUGCUAUCCCUGUUACAUGGGGACAAGCCAUUGAAGUUCCAGAAAGAAUGUUAAAAUCCAUAUUUGAAAUUGCAGGAGACCAAGCUGCCAGGAUAUUCAAACCGGGAGCUGCAACAUCGGGCUGCAAAACAAGUCAGGAACGUUGAACUGUAGCGCCAUGACUAUAAAGAUCGUUUCAAAAGCUUGAGCAUGAAAUGCAGGUUCAGGGGUAUGUGCGUUACCUUCAAAAUUUCUGGAGUUACAGAAUUAGGGCCUUUUGAAGAAAAGGCAGCCAUAUAAGGAGCAGCUCGAGUUCCUAUAACGGUCUUAGCAGAGAGAAUCCUCGACAUAGGCUGGCUGUUGGAAUUAGGGAAAUGUGUGAAUAUAGAGAGGUAAGAAAAUAGAACAACUUAUGAAUUGAAAGUCAAUUUCAUAUCCACUAUCAUGCUUUUAUUACUGUAAGAACUAACAUCCAAAAAUGAUGAAUGAAAAGCAGUUUGACAGCUCUGUUAAACUAA